UUGGCAGACCCAGUACGAGCACUAAGCUGCUGCUGCUGGUGCUGCAGUAGUAGUGGUUGUUGUAGUAGUAGUAGUUGUAGUGGUUGUGGUUGUGGUGGUGGUAGUAGUAGUAGUCGUUGUUGUUGUUGUUAA